rnacentral:rRNA from 1 species
UACGUAGGGGCGAGCGUUAUCCGGAUUUAUUGGGCGUAAAGGGUACGUAGGCGGCUAAAUUAGUCAGAUGUGAAAGGCAACGGCUCAACCGUUGUAAGCAUUUGAAACUGUUUGGCUUGAGUACAGGAGAGGAAAGUGGAAUUCCUAGUGUAGCGGUGAAAUGCGUAGAUAUUAGGAGGAACACCAGUGGCGAAGGCGACUUUCUGGACUGAUACUGACGCUGAGGUACGAAAGCGUGGGGAGCAAACAGGAUUAGAUACCCUGGUAGUCCCUGAG